UACGUAGGGAGCGAGCGUUGUCCGGAUUCAUUGGGCGUAAAGCGCUUUAAGGCGGUUCGCUAAGUCGCGUGUGAAACCUCCAGGCUCAACCUGGAGACGCCACGCGAUACUGGCGUGACUAGAGUUCGGUAGGGGAUCACGGGAUUCCUGGUGUAGCGGUGAAAUGCGCAGAUAUCAGGAGGAACACCAGUGGCGAAGGCGGUGAUCUGGGCCGAUACUGACGCUGUAGAGCGAAAGCGUGGGGAGCGAACAGG
rnacentral:rRNA from 1 species